UUAAACGCUCGUAGUCGGAGGUUGGCGGGCAGUCCAGGGCGUCCUCACGGACGGAUYUGGAUCUGGCCGCCUUUGUGGAKGGGGGCCCAGBGGAGCUUCACUGCGUCACUGUGGUCGCUGCCACCGUUUACUGUGAAAAAAUUAGAGUGUUCAAAGCAGGCGUUUGCCAUGAAUACAUUAGCRUGGAAUAAUAGAAUARGACCUGUUUCCUGUUUUGUUGGUUUGUGAGGAUCGGGUAAUGAUUAAGAGGGACGGUUGGGGGCAUUUGUWUUCCGGCGUCAGAGGUGAAAUUCUUGGAUUGGCGGAAGACAAACGGCUGCRAAAGCGUCUGCCAAGGACGUUUUCAUUDAUCAAGAACGAAAGUAAGGGGAUCGAAGACGAUCAGAUACCGUCGUAGUCUUUACUAUAAACGAUGAGGACUGGGGAUCGGGUAGGACUGUAUUUUGKCCUACCCKGCMCCCUUCGGGAAACCAAAGUDUUUKCUUUCUGGGRGGAGUAUGGUCGCAAGGCUGAAACUAAAGGAA
rnacentral:rRNA from 1 species